rnacentral:misc_RNA from 1 species
CUUGGUCAUAGGGAAGUAAAAGUCGUAACAAGGUUUCCGUAGGUGAACCUGCGGAAGGAUCAUUAACACUCCAAAACUUCUCAUAGCUCUGGGAAACCAGAGUUUAUGAAACCCUAUUCACCAUUAGCGAACCCGGCUAGGUGAGAAAAGUGAGAGGGAAAAGAAAGCACCUCGUGUGUGUUUUUUUCCUUGCUUGUUUCUCAUCGUUAGCUAUUUUCUUUUGUCCAUUUUCAUUUUUAACCCCAAUCAUUAUAACUUUUAUUUGUCUGACUGGAAGACGUCAAACCUCUUCCGUUGCUCUUGGCUCUAACCAGCUAAGGCAAUGAAAACUUUUAAACAAAAACAAAAAAACAACUCUUAGCAACGGAUAUCUUGGUUCUC